rnacentral:rRNA from 1 species
UGGUCAAGUUAUUAAGGGUGCAGGGCGGAUGCCUUGGCACUAGGAGCCGAUGAAGGACGUGAUAAGCUGCGAUAAGCUUCGGGGAGUUGCACGUAAACUUUGAUCCGAAGAUUUCCGAAUGAGGAAACUCACUUAGAGUAAUGUCUAAGUAUCAUUAAGUGAAUACAUAGCUUAAUGAGGGGAACUCAGGGAACUGAAACAUCUAAGUACCUGAAGGAAGAGAAAGAAAUUCGAUUCCGUAAGUAGCGGCGAGCGAACGCGGAUUAGCCCAAACCAAUAAAGUUUUCUUUAUUGGGGUUGCGGACAUAUCAUAACGAAGAGGUAUCGUAAUUGAAGAGGUUUGGAAAGACCCACCACAGAAGGUAAUAGUCCUGUAUGUUAAACGAGAAGACUUUAGAUAUGAUCCAGAGUACCACGGGACACGUGAAACCCUGUGGGAAGCAGGAGGGACCACCCUCCAAGGCUAAAUACUACCUAGUGACCGAUAGCGUAUAGUACCGUGAGGGAAAGGUGAAAAGAACCCCGGGAGGGGAGUGAAAUAGAACCUGAAACCCUGCACUUACAAGCUGUGGAAGCACAUUUCUUGUGUGACCGCGUACUUUUUGUAGAACGGGCCAACGAGUUACGUUAAGUAGCAAGGUUAAGCACUUAAGGUGCGGAGCCGUAGCGAAAGCGAGUUUUAACUGAGCGUUCAGUUACUUGACGUAGACCCGAAACCGGGCGACCUACCCAUGAGCAGGAUGAAGCGAAAGUAAAAUUUCGUGGAGGUCCGAACCCACGAGCGUUGAAAAGCUCGGGGAUGACUUGUGGGUAGCGGUGAAAUUCCAAUCGAGCCCGGAGAUAGCUGGUUCUCCCCGAAAUAGCUUUAGGGCUAGCCUCAAGGUGAGAGAUACGGAGGUAGAGCACUGAAUGUCCUAGGGGGUAUUGCACCUACCGAAGACUAUCAAACUCCGAAUGCCGUCAUCUUAUACUUGGGAGUCAGACUGUGGGUGAUAAGAUUCAUAGUCGAAAGGGCAACAGCCCAGAUCGUCAGCUAAGGUCCCUAAAUGUAAGUUAAGUGGUAAAGGAUGUGGGAUUGCACAGACAACCAGGAUGUUGGCUUAGAAGCAGCCACUCAUUCAAAGAGUGCGUAAUAGCUCACUGGUCGAGUGAUCCUGCGCCGAAGAUUUCCGGGGCUAAAACUUACUACCGAAGCUACGGCAUCAGUAAUGAUGGGUAGGGGAGCUUCCCAUACGGGUUGAAGCAUGACCGUAAGGACAUGUGGACAGUAUGGGAGUGAGAAUGUUGGCAUGAGUAGCGAGAUGUGGGUGAGAAUCCCACAGGCCGUAAACCCAAGGUUUCCAGGGGAAGGUUCGUCCGCCCUGGGUUAGUCGGGACCUAAGCUGAGGCCGAAAGGCGUAGGUGAUGGACAACAGGUUGAUAUUCCUGUACUACCGAUAACCGUUUGAGAGAAGGGAUGACACAGUAGGAUAAGCUAAGCACACUGUUGGUUAUGUGUGCCCAAGCAUUGAGGCAGUCAAAGUAGGCAAAUCCGCUUUGAUAAUGCUGGGAUGUGAUGGGGAGCGAAAUUUAGUAGCGAAGUAGCUGAUUUCACACUGUCAAGAAAAGUCUCUAUCGAGGUUAAAGGUACCCGUACCGCAAACCGACACAGGUGGGUGAGGAGAGUAUCCUAAGGCCAGCGAGAGAACUGUUGUUAAGGAACUCGGCAAAAUGACCCCGUAACUUAGGGAUAAGGGGUGCCACCAUCAGGUGGCCGCAGAGAAUAGGCCCAAGCGACUGUUUACCAAAAACAUAGGUUUCUGCUAAGUCGCAAGACGAUGUAUAGGAGCUGACGCCUGCCCGGUGCUGGAAGGUUAAGGGGAUCUGUUAGAGCAAUCGAAGCAGUGAACUUAAGCCCCAGUAAACGGCGGCCGUAACUAUAACGGUCCUAAGGUAGCGAAAUUCCUUGUCGGGUAAGUUCCGACCCGCACGAAAGGCGUAACGAUUUGGGCACUGUCUCAACAACAGACUCGGUGAAAUUGUAAUUCCGGUGAAGAUGCCGGAUACCUGCGACAGGACGGAAAGACCCCAUGGAGCUUUACUGUAGCUUGACAUUGGGUCUUGGUACUACAUGUACAGGAUAGGUGGGAGGCUUUGAAACCAGGACGCCAGUUUUGGCGGAGCCAUCCUUGGGAUACCACCCUUGUAGUACUGGGACUCUAACCAUAGGCCAUGAAUCUGGUCUUGGGACACUGUCAGGUGGGCAGUUUGACUGGGGCGGUCGCCUCCCAAAAGGUAACGGAGGCGCUCAAAGGUUCUCUCAGUACGGUCGGAAAUCGUACGUAGAGUGUAAAGGCAAAAGAGAGCUUGAUUGCAAGACAUACAGGUCGAGCAAGGAUGAAAAUCGGACUUAGUGAUCCGGUGGUUCUGCGUGGAAGGGCCAUCGCUCAACGGAUAAAAGCUACCCUGGGGAUAACAGGCUUAUCUCCCCCAAGAGUCCACAUCGACGGGGAGGUUUGGCACCUCGAUGUCGGCUCAUCACAUCCUGGGGCUGUAGUAGGUCCCAAGGGUUGGGCUGUUCGCCCAUUAAAGUGGUACGCGAGCUGGGUUCAGAACGUCGUGAGACAGUUCGGUCCCUAUCCGUCGCAGGCGUAGGAAAUUUGAGAAGACCUGUCCUUAGUACGAGAGGACCGGGAUGGACGUACCUCUGGUGUACCAGUUGUUCUGCCAAGGGCAUGGCUGGGUAGCUAUGUACGGAAUGGAUAAGCGCUGAAAGCAUCUAAGCGCGAAGCCAACUUCAAGAUAAGAUUUCCCACCGCAAGGGUAAGACCCCAGAAAGACUAUCUGGUUGAUAGGUCGAAGGUGUAAGUGCAGCAAUGUAUUUAGCUUAUCGAUACUAAUAGGUCGAGGACUUGACCAAUAUUUAUU